rnacentral:rRNA from 1 species
UACGUAGGGGGCAAGCGUUGUCCGGAAUCAUUGGGCGUAAAGCGCGCGUAGGCGGCCCGGUAAGUCCGCUGUGAAAGUCCAGGGCUCAACCCUGGAAAGCCGGUGGAUACUGCCGGGCUAGAGUCCGGAAGAGGCGAGUGGAAUUCCUGGUGUAGCGGUGGAAUGCGCAGGAUAUCAGGAGGAACACCAAUAGCGAAGGCAGCUCGCUGGGACGGUACUGACGCUGAGGUGCGAAAGCGUGGGGAGCGAACAGG